AUUGAACGCUAGCGGGAUGCCUUACACAUGCAAGUCGAACGGAGUGGCGAACGGGUGAGUAAUGUACCGGAACGUGCCCAGUCGCGGGGGAUAACUAAGCGAAAGCGUAGCUAAUACCGCAUACUACUUGAGCGGCCGAUUUCGGAUUAGCGAGCUGGAGUGGUAACGGCUCACCAAGGCGACGAUCCGUAGCGGGGUUGAGAGGACGACCAGCCACACGGGGACUGAGACACGGCCCAGACUCCUACGGGAGGCAGCAGUGGGGAAUUUUGGACAAUGGGGGAAACCCUGAUCCAGCCAUCCCGCGUGUGCGAUGAAGGCCUUCGGGUUGUAAAGCUCUUUUGGCAGGAAAGCGGUACCUGCAGAAUAAGCACCGGCUAACUACGUGCCAGCCGCCGCGGUAAUAC
rnacentral:rRNA from 1 species